AUCUUCUUUCUCAUCAAAUCGCAAACAACAUAUUAAUAUGUCAGUGUUGACAACACUCUAUCAUUCCCCCCUUUUUUUUUUCGUGUGCAUCAGUUCAAUUCUCAAUAUUAAUACAAACAAAGGAUAUUAAUAAUAUGAUUAAUUAAUUAAGUUGAAACAUGAAUUUCUUCUUUAAGUUUCUCCCGGGGUCUUCUUCUCGUGUGGGAUGCGAUAAAAUUUGACGAUGUUUCAGUUGUAUUUGUGAUUAUUAGGAAUUUCCUAUUCCUCACAUAAAUACGACAAUUUCCCAGGCGUAUUUGGCCAGAAAAUUGGCUCUUUCGCUCUUGUUUUGGUUUUAGUCAUUCCUUGAUACAACAAAUAUAGUUUAGCAAAAAUGUCUCUGGCACGCUUUAGAGACGACAAUGCGUGUUCCUUUCAAAACUAAACCGUCCUGCACAGCUUAGUCUUCGAUCAUGCUCUUAAAUAAUCUUACCUAAUGAUUUUCUAUUCUUCUUUUUUCUUUCAGGCUACAUUUCACGAAUUGCACAAGUGCUCAAUAGUCUUGUUCCGCUUUCGCUAUAUUUUGUAUCACUUCAAUUAUUGGAUUGACGAAACCAAAAUUUCAAUUUUAUCUUGUGUCUUCUUCUUUAGCACAUCUUUCUUCACCAUGUCUUCUAACGUUUUAUUAACUUGAUCCCUGUAGCAAAAUGGGAUUCGUCUCUUUCCAUGGAAAUGGCUUGGCAUCAUCCAAGAGCUCUAUUUCCAUCGGAGGGAAUUUCAUCGUCAUUAGUUCUUCAACACAGGGAAGUCUGGGUGUAUAAUUCCCAAUUUUAUACUCGCAUACUGUGAUAAAACCUACCAAUCUGACCAAUAUUCUUUACAAAAUAGAAGAUAUUUUUAUGUUGACGAUUACAGAGUCUAAAAAUUAUUUUGACACUAUUAAUAACUUCAAAUCUUGAGCCGUUCACUCCAACUAUCUUGGGGCUAGCAGAUGGAUGCCACGGUCUCUUUGAUGGCAAAUAUAAAUAUUUGUAAACUCUUAAGCCUACAAUAGAAGACAUUGCACCACUAUCACCUGUAUAAAAUUUAUUUUCAAUGAAUUCUCCACUUAGGUUUAGAGAAUCAAUUGGAAUUCUAUUCAGUUUACAUACACAAACUGAAUUGACGAGUAAUACUGAAUGUUCAUGGAUCGGCAUACUUUCAACUCAUCAUUAUUGGCAUUGAAAUUAUAUUAAUACCAUUUAAACUUUCUGUAUUAUUCUUCGCAGUUUCACCUGUUCAGCACAAUCUGAUCUACUUUUAGUGAUGUUAUACUAUAACCUAGUUUCAAUUAAUCUUUAUGUUUUCUUUUAAAAGAUGAUUGUUAUUACUCAUAUUGAUUCAUAAGUUAGCAAUGAAUUUCACACCAUUAGACCAAACUAUUACAUGAGUCAUCAUAUACUAAUUAAAUAGUUGGCAUGUUGGUUUCAAAUUUACAAAAUAAUAUCUUAUGAACUUUUACAAAAUAUAUAUAAUAUAUUUUUUUAAUAUUUCUUA
rnacentral:lncRNA from 1 species